ensembl:lncRNA
GCGGCGGGAGUGGAGCUCCUCUGCUGCCUCAGAGGGACCGGGAACGGAACCGAAACCGGGACCGGGACCGGCCUCGGCCUCUCCCGGCGGGGCCAGCGGGAAGCCCUGCGUCCCUCAUGCGCAGGACACCGGUGCUGGUUGAAGCGGCGGCGCCGCACUGCGCCUUCCCCCGCCAUGUUGUGGCGAGGCUCCCUCAGGGCCGGAGCCGCGGCCCCGAGCGGCUGUGGCGGGGGAACACGGGCGAGUCUGCAAAAAAAAUGAAGUGACCAGGAUGGUGUGAGUUCAGAAAUGAAGGGUGAUCCUUCAGAAAAAAGGUGUCCGAGAAACCUUCAGCCAUCUUCCUAACUGUAAGUGGAGUGCUACAUGUGGCAUCUCUCCUUUGUAAAACUGCUUUUAAGUAGGUGAUAAAAUCUCCUUUUGAAUACAACAGAAUCAUGGAGUGGUUUGGGUUGGAAGGAGCUCCUUCCAUUCUCCCGUGCUGCUCAGAGCUGCAUGCAGCCUGGCCUUGAGCACUUCCAGGGAUGGACAUGCACCCAUAAUUGAGUUUUUUCAGUGUUCUGGGGUUAUUCCUUCCCCCCAGGCUGCCACUGGCGUUGCAGAGAUGGCUGCUGUGGCAUCUUUGUGUCAAAGAGUGGCAAGAGAGACCCAGGCUAUGUUCUACGCUCGUUUGUUCUGCACCCCGUGGGCACUCAGAGUGAUUGAUAGCCUGACAUCCUUCAUCAGCCUGAAGGGAAACUGGGGAAAAACCAACCCUGAGCUGCUUGGGCUGUGAGGUCUGGGUGUUCCAGGAGGGGAGGUUCUGUUCUAGGCUGCACGUGGGGUUCUGGUUCUGUGGGUGUGUUACAGAAGAAUAAGUGGAAGUGAUCUGUAAAACCACAUGGCAACACUGGGACUUCAUCCUGUCAGAAAAUAAGAAUAUUUCUGUGUAUUGUAACUGUAGGUGAACCUGGUGGGAAGAAAUGAUGAUGCCUGACUUUAGUUCAGAAGGCUGAAUAGUUUCUUUAUUAUAACUAUACUAUAAUACAUUAAUAUACUAUUUAAAAGAGAUAUUAAAACUACAAACCUAAUUUUGUAACUAUGAUAUCUAACUAACUACAACUUACGACUUCUUGAGAGUCCAGCCAUCAGGCUCAAACAGUCCUUACUAGAAUUUAAUCAAGCAGUCACCCCAGGUAAACAAUUCUCCAAACACAUUCCACAUGGGAAAAUCAAGGAGCAGAAACAGAAAUUGUUUUCUCCUUCUUCCCUCUGUGCUCCUGUAUGAAAAAACCCUGAGAGAGAGAGAGAGAAGAAUGUGCCUGCCACGUACAUGCUGUGAAUUUACUCCUUACAAAUUCCUGCUGGCAGUGAAGCAGUUUAACCAGGCUUGGGGUGUGUGGCUGAAGGCUGUCCAUGUGUUUUUCCUCCUUUUCCAGAGGUGGACCUGGAGGAGCUGAGCCCAGGUGAGCUGCAGUGCCAGCCCCAGCCCAGGUGAGCUGCCAGCCCCAUCCCAGCCCAGGUGAGCUGCAGUGCUGGCAGUGCCAGCCCCUGCCCCAGCUCCGUGUUGCAGGCGUGGCUGCAGUGCCAUGGCUGUGUCUUUUGGUGGCAGACAGCAACAGGCGAGGUCUUCCCUGGUGCUCUGAGCCCUGUGAGCUCUCAGGAUUGCUCAACAACCUGACACUUGUUCUUUCCCUGCCCUCUUUCCUUUGGUGGGGAAUGGUGGAGGAUGGACACUGUCCUUCAGUCCUUCUCGUCAUCACCUCCUGCUAUCCCAGCUUGCUCCAGGCCCUGUGUGCAGUUGGUGCUGUGUGUCACUGUCCCUUCUUGAGGGACAGCAGAAACAGCAAGAGCAGCUCUGGGCACAGAGAUUGUGACCCUGAGCUUUGCAGUGAGUAACUGUGGCACUGCCAAAUGGGAAACCUCAUUAAAUGGCCAUUACACGGCCAAAGGGGCCUCAGUGGUGCAAAAAGAACCUUUAAUUGGCAACAGUCACUGGCUUUGGAAGAGAAUCUUAAUAAGGUUGUGGGGAUGUGGUUAUGCUUGAGGAUGUGGCUCUUUUAUUUAAAUUUCUUGACUUCUUUUAACCCUGCAAUCCGUGUUUAGGGUUUUUCAUCAGGCUUUCCUCACACCAGGGGUCCUGCGUGGGCACUGAGUGCUAAUGAGUGUCUCUUUAGAACUUCCCUGUGUGAGGCACAGCAGAACAUUUCCCUGGUGGCAUUUACUGAAACAUUUACAGCACUCCUGGCCCAUGGAUAUUGCUUUACUGAAGGAAAAACUGGCUCUCAGCUGUGGAAAACGUGAAUGUUUUGCAUGAAAGUGGCUUAGAGAGAAAUUAAAAAUCUCUCUGCACAUAGCACAGCCCUUCAUCAUCAAGGACUGGUUUAUGUCAUGGCUGUAAAAGCUGGAAAAAGCCCAGAUUUUUUUUUCUCUGCACUAUUAAUAGCUUGGCUCUGCACCGAGGUUGGCAAACUCACCUUGGAUUUUUAGAGUGAUGGAAUAACCCAGAGCAGGCUCCAGCUAUCCUGCUCUUAAAUUAUCCCUUUCCUAAACUCCCCCAGCCAGAUGUUUUUCCAAAACCUUUCUGAUGCCAUGCCAAAGAGCUUCUCCUAAAUUUCUGCCAUGUCCUUCUGGACUGAAGGAAAUCCCUGUCUACAAGUUUCCUUGUGAACCCUGAUAGCAGCCUUAAAAUGUGGUUUCAUUUUAUAUUUCAUCUUUAUUUCCUCUGGGAUGUGAAAAAUCUUGGGACAACCCAAAGCCAGUGAGGGCAGCAGAGUCUGGAUGGCUCAUUAGUAUUGACUUAAUUGCUCCCUUUUCUUGCCUGUUUUUCAACUUUUCUGACAUCUUGGGCCUUAUUUUUUUAUUUGCAGAUUAUGCCUUGAGCUGCAGAAUGUCUGACAAAUGUGGCAACUGAGAACUGGCUGGCAGCAUCCACGUCUGAUGGUUUGGAGAUUCCUAAAACUUGAUCAUCUGUGUUUUCUCUACGUGGUUAAGAAGGAUUUAAAUUAAAAAAAAACCUAAAUAAAGAUGC